rnacentral:misc_RNA from 1 species
UUGAUGCAGCCAUUAAAGUGGUUCUCCAGCCAACAAAACAGAAGAAGAAAAAGAGAAGAAAGGCUCAAAAGGCCUGCUCCAUAUUGUGAUUGAAAAAUUAAGCACUGGGAAGAAAACAUGACCAACUAGGCAUUGAUCCCAUUAGUCUUUCAUUGUGUGUCUUGCGUUUUCCCAGCUUGAGGAAGCAGCAAGAUUUGGUCUUAGUAUCUACUGACAGAACUAGGAAGCACAUUAUAAGAAUCAAGUUGCGAGUUUGUCACGUUCUGGGUUACAUUUUCAUUUGUAUAAAUAUGAUUGAUUGCGUUUGUUAAACAUGCACACCCUUGUCAUUCUGCAUGUAUUGACUGAAGUCAGGAAAACUUUUUAAUACAAGAGGAAACAGUUUAAUA